UCUACUCGUGAUGAGAACCUUGUCCAGUUCUGCUACUGACGGUCAGCGAUGACAUCGACUAUUCUGAAGCAGA